rnacentral:rRNA from 1 species
UACAUGUGGGGCAAGCGUUGUUCGGAAUUACUGGGCAUAAAGGGUGCGUAGGCGGUUUGUUAAGUCAGGGGUGAAAGUUUUCGGCCCAACCGGAAAAUUGCCUUUGAUACUGGCGAACUUGAGUGCGUGAGGGGUAACCGGAACGAGCAGUGUAGCGGUGAAAUGCGUAGAUAUCUGGAGGAACACCGGUGGCGAAGGCGACAUCCUGGACCGGUAUUGACGCUGAGGCGCGAAAGCCAGGGGAGCAAACGGG